rnacentral:rRNA from 1 species
CGGGUCCGCUACCAUGCAGUCGACGGUACAGGAAGCAGCUUGCUGCUUCGCUGACGAGUGGCGGACGGGUGAGUAAUGUCUGGGAAACUGCCUGAUGGAGGGGGAUAACUACUGGAAACGGUAGCUAAUACCGCAUAACGUCGCAAGACCAAAGAGGGGGACCUUCGGGCCUCUUGCCAUCGGAUGUGCCCAGAUGGGAUUAGCUAGUAGGUGGGGUAACGGCUCACCUAGGCGACGAUCCCUAGCUGGUCUGAGAGGAUGACCAGCCACACUGGAACUGAGACACGGUCCAGACUCCUACGGGAGGCAGCAGUGGGGAAUAUUGCACAAUGGGCGCAAGCCUGAUGCAGCCAUGCCGCGUGUAUGAAGAAGGCCUUCGGGUUGUAAAGGACUUUCAGCGGGGAGGAAGGGAAUACAGUUAAUACCUUUGCUCAUUGACGUUACCCGCAGAAGCAAGCGCCAUUUAACUCCGUGCUAACAACCGCGCCUGCAUGCACGUUACGCCCAGUAAAUUCCGAAUUAACUGCUUGCACACUCCGUAUUACCGCGGCUGCUGGCACGAAGUUAACCGGUGCUUCUUCUGCGGGGAAACGGCAAUGAACAAAGGUAUUAACUUUUACUCCCUUCCGUCCGCGGCUGAAACUACGUUACAACCCGAAGGGCUUCUUCAUACGGACGGCAGGCUGCAUCAAGGCUUGCGCCCUUUGUGAAUAUUCCCCCACUGGUUGCCUCCCGUAAGGAGACUGGACCGGGUCUCAAAUUCCAGUGAGGCUGGGCCAUCUCCCAAGACCAACUUGGGGAUUGUCCC